CUUAGCUGAAGUGGAGGCGAGCUCGACUGCAUUCUGGCUUCUCUACCCUGUCGCAACAGCCCUGAAUGAAGAUCUUCCUUGCCUGUUCAACUUUGCCCAGUGCAAUUUUUGCUUUGACAAGAGGAAUGAUUAAAGCGCUGAGUCUUUGGAGUCAGACUGUCUGGAACCAAAUCCCAUCUCUGUCUCUUCCUAAAUGCACGACCUUCGAUUUUUGCAUUCUGGAAACCACCUGCCUCCAUCCAGACUUGGGACGCAGAACUCAACCAGUUCUGUGGCUGUCACCCUGAGGCAGACUCAGCACAUGAGGACAAUUUUCCACACCCCUAUGAUUCCAUCUCCAACCAAUCAGCAACACCCAUUCCCUAGCCCCCUGCCCACCAAAUUGUCCUUAAAAACCCUAGCCUCUGAGUCCUCAGAGAGGCUGAUUUGAGUAAUAACUCCAGUCCUUCUGCUUGGCUGUCCUUGUGUUAAUUAAACGCUUUAUUUACUGCAAU
rnacentral:lncRNA from 1 species